rnacentral:piRNA from 1 species
CCCACUGGAGGGAAUAGAUUAGGGAAUGGU